CACACACACACACUGCAGAGAUAUUUGGUAAUAUUUGGACACAUUUUUGAUCGUCACAACUGGAGCGUUGCUACUGGCAUCCAGUGGGUAGGGGAGAGGCCAGGGUUACCGCUGAACCUCCUACAUGCACAGGAAAGCCUCUCAGUAAAGAAUUGCCCAGCCCAGAAUGCUGAUAGGGGUGAGGGUGAGAAAUCUUGUACUAUAGGCUAUGGCCUCUUGAGACCUCAUCAAAUUUUAUUUCUUAUUGUCAUUCUCUGCUGUGAAGUCCCACCAAGUGGCAAAAAGCCAGAAAUGUUAUCAUUCUCCUGGUAGAGGUUACACCAAAAACUCUCUAACCCCUUUAGCCAGCCCACUGUGAGCUCAGAGCACUCGAUGGCCCCCAGCAGGCACAGUGGUCAGAUCCCCUUGGUUCAUGGGGCUGGGCCUGGAGUCAUCAGGGUGGACCGGCCCCACCUGUUCUUUGGAGCCAAGAAGGCAGGAAACCACAGGCAGAGCCCUGGUAUCACUUGUUCUAAGGAGAGGUAACCAUCCUGUGGUGAGGACACCAAACAACCCACUUAGGAAGAAACUGAGGCUCCUGUCAACUGCCAAGGCCAAAUGGGUGAGCCACAUUGGAAACAAUCUUCCAGCCCCAACCGAGCCUUCAGAUGACUGCAGACCUAGUCCCCAACAGACUGAACCUCUUGAGAAACACCCAGCUAGGCUGCUCCUGACCAACAGGCACUGAGAGAUAAUAAAUAUUUAUUGCUGUUUUAAAACACUACAUUUGGGGGUAAUUUGUUUCACAGCAAAAGAUAACAAAUGCAAGUGGGUACCUGUAUUAUCCUUAUUUUACAGAUGUGGAGACAGAGCACAGAGAUGAUAUGGGCUUUACCUGAGGUUCUAGGAAUUAAGAUCUGAAACCAGGCUUCCCGGCUCCCGGCCCAUGUGCUUAAUCCCCACAGUGAACCUGUUGAUUCAGGAUCAUAAGAAAACUGAGGUCUGGAUGGGAGGCAGGACUCAAGCCGUGGUCCCUACAGCUUGGCUGCUCUUGGGUCCCGCCCAUUUUCUCAGUGGCUGUAGUCUUCCUGUCCAAACUGGGAAUUUCCAGGAGCAUUUCCAUUACAUUUCUUUCUUGCUUAACUUGCUCAGAAUUAAUUCCUUUUGCCUGUCGCCAAGAUGUCUAAUCAAUGGGAGACCCAUUCUCCCCAAACCCUGUUGUUUAAAAAAUGGUCUUAUUUUAGUGGCAGCCAGAUUGCCUCCAACACAGAAGCUUAAACUCAUAAAGGGGUCUUAGUGAUCACUUAGUUCCAUUUUUCCAAGGACAGAUGCAAUCUGAAGACUUUGAACACAAAUUUUUAAAGUCAGAAUGGAAAUCAGUAUAGGGAGGGUCCAUGUCUACUUCAGGGGCAGCUUUUCUCUGGGCCUCCUCUUGUCCAGGAGUCACACUGACCCGCCUAAUACAGGAAGCAGUCCACUCAACACACGGCAAUAGAGCUUUCACCACACGCCAGACACCACUCCCAGCCCUGGAUACGCAAAGACAGGAUGUAAGUGACGGCAGCACAGGCCCAGGGAGCCUUCUUCAGUCCAAGAUGUGGCUUCACUGACAUUCUGCCUGGCCCAGGGAGACCACGGGCGGAGGUCUUACCCAGUGUGUUGCAUGAUUCCUCUUGCAUCAGUUUUUUCCUACUUUAUUGGUUCUGUGUUUCUGAUUACAAAACAGGAAGAUUUGGAAAAUGCAAGAAAUAACUCAGAGAAAAUAAACAUAAUCAUUAUUCUUCCACCAGA